rnacentral:lncRNA from 1 species
CUCCAGUGCCUACACCAGCCCCCUGUCCCUGUUGGAGCACCCAGAUGUCCUCACCUUGAUCCUGCUUACGGCUUCCUGGGCCUGCAUCAUGCGCACGUUUUUGGAAGGAGUUUUGUCUGAGAGCAGCUGAGUGGAGCCAAGCAGUGGCAGAUCUUGGCAGUUAAGAGCACGGGUUCCCAUGAGUUCUGGAUUUGAAUCCUGGCUGACCACUUGUGAGCUCUACAAUCUCAGGGCAAAGCCCUCCUGUUCCCAGCCCCAAGUCGGUUAAACCCAUGUUAAAUCUAUAGGUUGAAGACCUGGAUCAUUCGAAGCCCAGAGCCUUGCACAGCAGCGAUCUGCUCCAACAGAGGGUGAUGUCAUCAUCCGAGGCCACACAAAUAAUGCAUUUCUCACCAUCAAAAAGCUUCUGAAGCCAUGUUCUCAAAGGCAAAAAAUAAAUAAAUAAAUAACCAAUUAACUACACCAGUGUAAGGGUGAAACAAGUUCUUAUCUGAUAAAACUGACUUAUAAACACAGGUUAUCUCUUCCCCCUUUGAAACAGCCUCACUGUAUUUAAAUGAAAUGCGCUACAAUUUGGAAAAAUG